rnacentral:lncRNA from 1 species
UCCUUUUCCCACCACAUCUCCAUCAUUCUCAUCUUUCCAUUUCUUCCUUCUGACCCCACCACCCACAGCAAUUCUCAAACACUCGAUUUCCCGCCAAACACCCAUAUAUAUCCCUCCGCUCGGCUCUUCCUUGCUUACAGUCAUCACUUCUAAACUUUCAUUGCUUGAAUUAUAAGCUUUUAAAGCUUUGAACCAAAGCCAUGGCCACCUUGCCUGCUCCCUCUUUAUCACUUGCCACCCUCACCCUCUCUCUCCUUCUCUUGUUCCACUCCUCUGCAGCCACCCC